UACGGGGGGGGUAAGCGUUGUUCGGAAUUACUGGGCGUAAAGGGCUCGUAGGCGGCCAACUAAGUCAUACGUGAAAUCCCCAAGCUUAACUUGGGAACUGCCGUGGAUACUAUCAAUCUUGAAUAUCGUGGAGGUAAGCGGAAUAUGUCAUGUAGCGGUGAAAUGCUUAGAUAUGACAUAGAACACCAAUUGCGUAGGCAGCUUACUACACGAUCAUUGACGCUGAGGCACGAAAGCGUGGGGAUCAAACAGG
rnacentral:rRNA from 1 species